CUCAUACUGGAGGAUAGCCUUUGGAAACGAAGAUUAAUACUCCAUAAUAUCUUAGUAUUACCUGAUACAUAGAUUAAAGGUUACGGUAUGAGAUGAGCAUGCGUCCUAUUAGCUAGAUGGUGUGGUAACGGCAUACCAUGGCAACGAUAGGUAGGGGCCCUGAGAGGGGGAUCCCCCACACUGGUACUGAGACACGGACCAGACUCCUACGGGAGGCAGCAGUGAGGAAUAUUGGACAAUGGAGGGAACUCUGAUCCAGCCAUGCCGCGUGCAGGAAGACUGCCCUAUGGGUUGUAAACUGCUUUUGUAUGGGAAGAAACACUCCCUCGUGAGGGAAUUUGACGGUACCAUAAGAAUAAGCAUCGGCUAACUCCGUGCCAGCAGCCGCGGUAAUACGGAGGAUGCAAGCGUUAUCCGGAAUCAUUGGGUUUAAAGGGUCCGUAGUGGAUUAGUCAGUCAGAGGUGAAAUCCUGCAGCUUAACUGUAGAACUGCCUUUGAUACUGCUAAUCUUGAGUCAUUAUGAAGUAGUUAGAAUAUGUAGUGUAGCGGUGAAAUGCAUAGAUAUUACAUAGAAUACCAAUUGCGAAGCAGAUUACUAAUAAUGUACUGACACUGAUGGACGAAAGCGUGGGGAGCGAACGGGAUUAGAUACCCCGGUAGUCCACGCCGUAAACGAUGGAUACUAGCUGUUCGGAUUUAUCUGAGUGGCUAAGCGAAAGUGAUAAGUAUCCCACCUGGGGAGUACGUUCGCAAGAAUGAAACUCAAAGGAAUUGACGGGGGCCCGCACAAGCGUGGAGCAUGUGGUUUAAUUCGAUGAUA
rnacentral:rRNA from 1 species